ensembl:lncRNA
GGGAGGCCCACAGGGGAGGCAGUGUCUGUCAGCCCUCCAGGUCUAGUUUGACCUCACAGGGGAACAGGAGGCCACAGGGGAGGCAGUGUCUGUCAGCCCUCCAGGUCUAGUUUGACCUCACAGGGGAACAGGAGGCCACAGGGGAGGCAUUCUGUCAGCCCUCCAGGGUUUGACCUCACAGGGGAAUAGGAGGCCCACGGGGAAUAGGGGGCCACAGGGGAACAGGACAGUGUCUGUCAGCCCUCCAGGUCUAGUUUGACCUCACAGGGGAAUAGGGGGCCACAGGGGAACAGGACAGUGUCUGUCAGCCCUCCAGGUCUCGUUUGACCUCACAUCUCCCUGGUUAAAUGGAACUGGACUCGUCACUCGCUGCUUCUCAAUGUUUUAUGGAGUGUCUGUAUGUUAUUAUUUGAUCACAUUUUAAAACUACUUAUGUGUUGAUCUCUAAAUACCCUGUGAACUAUUUUGAUUGAGAAUAAAUAAAAAAUAAUAAAUAGAUUUAUGUCAAA